UACGUAGGGUGCAAGCGUUGUCCGGAUUUAUUGGGCGUAAAGAGCUCGUAGGCGGUUUGUUGCGUCGGCUGUGAAAUCCCGAGGCUCAACCUCGGGUCUGCAGUCGAUACGAGCAAACUAGAGUGUUGCAGGGGAGACUGGAAUUCCUGGUGUAGCGGUGAAAUGCGCAGAUAUCAGGAGGAACACCGGUGGCGAAGGCGGGUCUCUGGGCAACAACUGACGCUGAGGAGCGAAAGCGUGGGGAGCGAACAGG
rnacentral:rRNA from 1 species